ACAAUCCGAAUUGUAAUCCAUGUGGUUUUAUUUAGUACAUCUCCUCGGUUUACAGAGGAAAUCUUUAUGAUAUGUGGAUGCCUAAGGACUGCAGUGUCUCAGAUAUCUCAGUACCGUUAGAAAGUCCAAGCUAGGAAAGUUGCUGAACUCAUAUGUUGAUUGAGCUCAGGAGAUGAUCUACAAUUAUCGAGGGGGGAAGAAGGACGCGUCUGCUCGUGUUGGUCAUGUUUCAAAGGUUCGUGCUUCUAAUAUUUUGUUGGUCGUGAAGUUUUUUGUGCUGUAAACAUUUCAUCUAGAUCUGAACCUAGGACCACAGUUUCGAUGAGGAACCUAGGAAUGCUAUUUAAUGUAUUUGUUCAUCUGAAAUUUAGGACCUCAGUUUGUGUUGCUAUUUCUUUCUGUCCUGAGUGUUGGAACUGAGCUGGCUAUUAGGAUUUUGGUGCUGAAGAUAGAUGGGAGUAUUAGAACUCUAGGUGCUAAAUCACGAACUUUGAUGUUCUAGAGUACUGUGUAGAUUACAGGUCUUAUAGGUGACUCUUUAGGGGCUUGCAAGUGUUCAAUUCACAUUAUUGGCAAGCCAGUGCUCCAAAAGUUUUAUUAUUGAACUAAAAUGUCCUAAUGUAGUAGUGUGCAAGUCAGUUGUAUCGUUCCAAGCAACCAGCAACCAGAUUCACUACCUCGCCAGCGUAUCCUAAUGUAAAUCUGGGUUUAUUUUGCUCUUAUAUAGAACCAAAUAUACAUGGAAGAGAUGGCGAUAGUGGCUGCUGAAAACUAGCCCACAAUGAGUAACUGACUCCACUUCCUAUCUUCUAGGAGACAAAGCAGACUGAAUGCAAAUUAAAUGACUCGGACAAUUAUCAUCCACUGCCUCUUAACAAACUCUACUGAACUUGACUCAUCUAACACACUGACACAACACAACUAGGAUCACAAACAACAAACAUCGAUAACUUUUUAGAUUAUAAAUAGUGUUGCUAUAUCUUAGCUAGAGUAGACCGAUCAAUGAAUUAAAGUGUCUUAUGUUUCAAAUUUUUGUGCAACUAAUAUUCUGUUAAUUUCUUAGCCUUUUGGUUCUGGUGCUUGAGGAAUUGUCGUGGGGAGAUUCUUGUAUGCUGAAACUAAGUGACAUGUGACUGUUGGCCAGAGUAGAUCGAUUUAGGAACUAUAGUGUGUGUUUUAAUGUUAGAGAGACUCGUGUAUGCUAGAGCCAAGUGUCUUGGGACUCUGUUUAGUAGAUGAAUCAAUCAACUGUGUUCUAAUUUGUACUAUAGUGUGUGUGUUUUAAAGUUAGAGAGACUCGUGUAUGCUAGAGCCAAGUUUCCUUACUAGUCUGACAAAGUUUUCUAAUUUGUAGCUUACUGCUACCAGUGGUUUAAACAUAUUAUUUUAAAUGAAAGUGUUGCAGUUUGUAGUUUACUCUUAUUGCUGGUAUGUAGCUUGCUUUACUUAUUCAAAUAUUUUUCCUAUUGUGUUCUACUUGAGCUGACUUCUCCGGUUAGUAGUCACAUGACAUGUUCUUGCAAGAGGAAAUGUUCCAGGUCUUCUUCUGAAGGUUAUUUGUCUCCCUUUCUCUCCUUACAACUCAAUAAUUGCUAGAUGAUUAUUGUCCUGGUGGUCUAUGAAGGAGAAUGAAGACAUUAUUUUUGGGACUCUCUUAAGAAAAAACAUAUGUAUUCUAACUGCCAAAUCAUGGUAGAUGAAGCUCAAGCUAGAGAUCGAAGUUGCUGCCAGGCCUUAUUUGCCCAAGAUGUACUUUUUUCAUUGAGUGCUUUUUAGAUCCACAUGUCAGUGUUCAUGAAAUUUAUUGUACAAUGUUCUUGCGAAUGUGCAGUUUGUUACUAACCUUGGGGAUUGGAGAAGAUGAUUUGCCAUUAGGGAUGGAGAGUCUCUAUAUAGAACCCACAUGGGCCAUAUGGGCCUUUGAUAUACUGUAACACCUUUAACACCCCCCCCCCCCAAACUCAAGGUGGGAAUGGAGGAUCUGAAUAACUGAGUUUGAUCAAGUGUAACCGAUGUUGCUUU